GACGAACGCUGGCGGCGUGCCUAACACAUGCAAGUCGAGCGAUGAAGUUCUUCGGAACGGAUUAGCGGCGGACGGGUGAGUAACACGUGGGUAACCUGCCUUGUAGAGGGGGAUAGCCUUCCGAAAGGAAGAUUAAUACCGCAUAACAUCUUUUUAUCGCAUGGUAGAAAGAUCAAAGGAGUAAUCCGCUACAAGAUGGACCCGCGGCGCAUUAGCUAGUUGGUGAAGUAACGGCUCACCAAGGCGACGAUGCGUAGCCGACCUGAGAGGGUGAUCGGGCACAGUUGGACCGGGAAACGGUUCCGACUCCUACCGGAGGCAGCCGUGGGGAAUGUUGAGCAAAGGGGGAAACCCUGACGGAGGAACGCCGCGUGAAUGAAGAAGGCCUUGGGGUUGGAAGGUUCUGUUUACGGGGACGAUAAUGACGGUACCCGUGGAGGAAGCCACGGCUAACUACGUGCCAGCCGCCGCAGUAA
rnacentral:rRNA from 1 species